GCUCUUCUAGGCUUACGGUCAGCUGGAGGGCACUGCUGACUGCUGGGAACCGGGGUUUAUUUUGAGAAGAAACUUGGAAAACUAAGAGCAGCUACACCCGGGGCCGAGGUAGCCGCCUGCUGCUGUGUUUACAUUCAGCAGGGCCUGCGGUGGGUUCACAUUACAUGGUGCAUUUCAUCUUUAAUCUUUACAAGGCUCCCCUGGAUUGGAGGCUUCCCGAGGGCAGAGCACCUCUGGGCAUGGGCGCCAUCUCUGAGCCAUGGCCCUUGGCACAAUGGAAACUGUGGACCGGAGGCGGGGGCCUUGAGCGGAGCCGGCUGUGGGCAGGCCCCGGUGUCCCGGGGACUGAGCAUCUGUUCCUUGUCGAGCAGCCUCGAACCAGGGCCGGGUGACCUACCACCCUGAAGCAGCAACGCCAAGAGGAGACAGACGUCUAAUUCUCCCAGAAGUCUUUCAGGAGGGAAGAUGCUUUAGGUUUUGCUCUGCCCGGGAUGACAUGGCUUCAGGCAGUCAGGCAGUCAGUCAUAUUUAUUGAGUGCUUAUUGUGUGUACAGCACUGUACUAAAUGCUUGAAAGAGGUCAAUAUUACAAUAAACAGACACAUUCCUUGCCCACAAGGUUACAAUCUAGAAGGGGAGGUCCCAACCAACUCUAGGGUGCUUAUUGCUGCAACUGGCUAUUGUGACUCCUAGCCUAAGGGAGCUUUAGGCUUGGAAGAUCUCAUUAGGCUACUCUGCCUCGUAGGAUGUUGGUAGAUUAGAUUGGCCCAUUUACUCUCUCCCAACAUCUAAAUCUUAGCAGGGUGAGAGCGAGAGAGGGGCUGCAGAACAUUUGAGGUCCUCAUUUACCCUUUAACAUUUCUUCUUCAAGAGGCAUUAAACUUGGGACAGGGAUUAUCCCUGACUGCUCCCCAAAAUGCAGUGAUCCUGAGAAGCAGUGUGGUCUUGUGGAAAGCGCAAAGGGCUGGAAGUCAG